UACGGAGGGUGCGAGCGUUAUUCGGAAUUACUGGGCGUAAAGCGCGUGCAGGCGGGAGGAUAAGUCUGAUGUGAAAGCCCCGGGCUCAACCCGGGAAGGGCAUUGGAGACUGUUCUUCUUGAGUUCUGGAGAGGAAGGGAGAAUUCCCGGUGUAGAGGUGAAAUUCGUAGAGAUCGGGAGGAACACCAGUGGCGAAGGCGCCCUUCUGGACAGCAACUGACGCUGAGACGCGAAAGCGUGGGGAGCAAAC
rnacentral:rRNA from 1 species